rnacentral:rRNA from 1 species
GGAUCCAGACUUUGAUCAUGGCUCAGGACGAACGCUGGCGGCGCGCCUAACACAUGCAAGUCGAACGGAGAUUACAGGCGGAAGUUUUCGGAUGGAAGCUUGUAAACUUAGUGGCGGACGGGUGAGUAACACGUGAGCAACCUGCCUAUCAGAGGGGGAUAACGAUUGGAAACGAUCGCUAAUACCGCAUGACAUAGCGAAACCGCAUGGUUUUGCUAUCAAAGAUUUUAUCGCUGAUAGAUGGGCUCGCGUCCGAUUAGAUAGUUGGUGGGGUAACGGCCUACCAAGUCGACGAUCGGUAGCCGGACUGAGAGGUCGAACGGCCACAUUGGGACUGAGACACGGCCCAGACUCCUACGGGAGGCAGCAGUGGGGGAUAUUGCACAAUGGGGGAAACCCUGAUGCAGCGACGCCGCGUGAGGGAAGACGGUCCUCUGGAUUGUAAACCUCUGUCUUCGGGGACGAAACGAGACGGUACCCGAGGAGGAAGCCACGGCUAACUACGUGCCAGCAGCCGCGGUAAUACGUAGGUGGCAAGCGUUGUCCGGAAUUACUGGGUGUAAAGGGAGCGUAGGCGGGCAGGCAAGUCAGGCGUGAAAUAUAUCGGCUCAACCGGUAACGGCGCUUGAAACUGCAGGUCUUGAGUGAAGUAGAGGUUGGCGGAAUUCCUAGUGUAGCGGUGAAAUGCGUAGAUAUUAGGAGGAACACCAGUGGCGAAGGCGGCCAACUGGGCUUUUACUGACGCUGAGGCUCGAAAGUGUGGGGAGCAAACAGGAUUAGAUACCCUGGUAGUCCACACCGUAAACGAUGAUUACUAGGUGUGGGGGGACUGACCCCUUCCGUGCCGGAGUUAACACAAUAAGUAAUCCACCUGGGGAGUACGGCCGCAAGGUUGCAACUCAAAGGAAUUGACGG